CUUCUGCCACUUGGACAUCAUCUGGGUGAACACUCCUGACAGACAGCUCCUUACGGCCUGGGAAACCCGCCAAGACGCCGGCGCCGCUCCCUGCCAAGGCGCUGUCAGUGCUCCAGUGCCAGGGACCCCGCCUGUGCCACCUUCUGCCUUCGAAGGCCCUGGACAUUUCCACAGUCAAGAGCCUCUUUGCCAAGCGACAACAGGAGGC
rnacentral:lncRNA from 1 species